AUACGGAGGGUGCAAGCGUUAAUCGGAAUUACUGGGUGUAAAGCGUACGUAGGCGGUUUAUUAAGUCAGAUGUGAAAGCCCCGGGCUUAACCUGGGAACUGCAUUUGAAACUAGUAGACUAGAGUAUGGUAGAGGGGGGUAGAAUUCCUAGUGUAGCGGUGAAAUGCGUAGAUAUUAGGAGGAAUACCAGUGGCGAAGGCGGCCCCCUGGACCAAUACUGACACUGAGGUACGAAAGCGUGGGGAGCGAACAGGAUUAGAAACCCCGGUAGUCC
rnacentral:rRNA from 1 species